AAAACGACUCUCGGCAACGGAUAUCUCGGCUCACGCAUCGAUGAAGAACGUAGCAAAAUGCGAUACUUGGUGUGAAUUGCAGAAUCCCGUGAACCAUCGAGUUUUUGAACGCAAGUUGCGCCCGAAGCCAUCCGGUUGAGGGCACGUCUGCCUGGGCGUCACG
rnacentral:rRNA from 19 species